CCUGCUGGGGUGCCCCUGGGCAGGUCUUUUUCCCUCUCUGGCCUGUCUUCCCAUCUGGAAAGCAGGAGAUUGGACUAGAUCUUGAGAGGCCCCCCAUGUGAGGAACCUAAGGGUUCCAUGCUUGCCAGCAAGAGGGGAGCGGCUGGGAGCAGACAGGGGACUGUGGAGACCACGCACAAGGGCUUAGCUGCUGUCUACACCAUCUGGGGGACACGAUGACUGCAUGGAUCAGCAACCUAUGAAACUUAUGGAAGUCCUCACACUAACCAUAAAAACCAUGAAAACUUCUAGGCUCUUCUUGACUCUUGGAGCACCCUGGGACUGUGAAUACCACAAUUCACUCAGAAGCAAGGUCUACAAAUUCCAAGUAGAUGCCAUAUCAAGAGAAGGCCAGGAAACCUGAGUUCUCCUUUCAGUCUGACC